rnacentral:lncRNA from 1 species
AUGGCAGGUGCACAGAGAAAGGCCCAGAAGGAAAUGGAACGGGGGGGGGGGGGUGACGGGUGCUGUUGUCUCUCAGUGUCUGGCGCGGAGGGGUGUGUCCAACCCAGAGCCCAAGGUGACCCCUGGGCCCGGGAGCUCGCCCAGAACAGGAAAAAACACAGCUGCAGCCUUGCAGGACCAGACAGGAACAGCAGCUCUGGCGCGCGCGCGGUGGUACUCACCCCUCCGGGCCGCGCCGCCUGGCCCGUCAGCCUGGCUUUGGCAGCCCAGCAGGGGCGGGCGCUGCAGCAUCUGGCGGCCCUCCUCCAGCAGCAUGAUCAGCAGCAGCCUGCGCUGGUUCCAGGGCACGAAGGCCUUGGCAGCCAACAGCGCUUCCUCUGGCCAAAGCCUGCACGCGGUGACAUAGUCCAAUGUGCCCAGGAAGGCGCUGCUGGCCAGCACCUGCAGCAGCCCGCGGCCACACAGCGUGCACGCAGCCGCCAAGGUGCGGCGCGCCCUGCUCCACCACAGCCUGGAAGUCUUCCCGGGCGCCCCGCGCGUCCCUGCCAUGCAGCGCGCAAAAGCCUCGCAGCGCCAGCAGCGGUGCGCGCUCCCCGGCGCGGACCUUGGUGGCAUCCCCAGGGCCAGCGGGCCGCAGCAGGCCCUCGCACAGAGCUCGGACGCCCGCCACGUCCCCGGCCAGCAGCAGGCACUCGGCCAGGAGGGUUCCCAGCGCAGGCUGGGCCCCGGUUAGUGCCACGCGGAGCAGGAUUCAGAGCGCCCAAGUCACCUGUGCCAGCAGCUCGCGAUCCGCGUCUUCGCGGAGCUCGGGGCAGCUCCGCACGGCCUCCUGGAAGCUGGCGAAGCCCAGGUCCGCGGCCUCCUGGGCCUGGGCCCGGACGCGCUCCUGGUCCCGGACGGACAGCAUGGCCUGGAACUGCCAGCGUGCGGCGGAGGGGCUCUCGCGGCAGGCGUCGUGCAGAUCCCGCAGCAUGUCCGCCGCGAGGCCGUCCAGGAAGAAGGCGGCGAGCGUGA